GUAAGCCCUUUAUUAUCAUCUCAUCAUUACUUCCAUUUUAUAGAUUAAAAAACUGAGUCAGAAAGUUAGAGACUUGCCCAGAUCAGGAGACGUAUGGCGGGGGGAGCUUUAUCGAGCAUGUGCUAUGUACCAGACACGUUUGCUAAGACUCAGGUUACACGACUUACUCAAAGUUGCCCAGUAAGUAAGUGUCGCACCAGAAUUCAAAUGUGAAUUUACCAUGCUUUUUCCACUCCCCCCGCAAAAUUAGAACCCUGCCACCUCUGUAACUAAUGAGUGAUCCUGGGUUUAAUCAGUUGCUAGUUCAGUGUCCUCCUCUCAUCUCUGAGAUAAAGGAUACCGCAGCCCACCCGGCCCCAUCAGCAGGACGUUCUGCUGGAGGAGUCUGUCAGCUGAGGAAAACUCGGAGUUGAGCUGCUUUGCCCUGCCACCCUUUCCAGCUGUGCUUCCCCAUCCCUCUGCUCGUGGAGGACCCUGAUUCCCACCUGCAGGGACCCCAAGGGCAGCAUCCAAGGGAGGCAGGUCUCCAGCUCCCAAAGUCUUUCGGGUGUGCUGGGCCCUGGGGGACCUUUGCUCCUCCUCCGCCUCCUGGGAGCCUGACAGCGGGUAGAUGGCGCCUGUGGUGUUGAUGCUUUCUUGGUUGUCGCAUGCUGGCUGUAGCCCUUUGCAGGCCCUACGCUUGGUGAUUUGUGGUCUGCACGUGCACAGGAGCUUGCCUGCCUGGCUGCGAUGGUCUGCUUUACCCCAUACCAUAACUGUCGGCCUGCCUCAGACUCUUGAAUUCUCCCUGACUGCCAGUGCCCAGGUCACCCCGCAGUGUGCCUGUCCUGGGCCUCUCCCCACACUUGCCACGUGCUGCCCCAGCUCCCAUCUGCAAAUGCUCCUGCCCUUG
rnacentral:lncRNA from 1 species